AUGGAACGUGUGGUUACCUCCAUGCAUGCUACACUUGCAAAGGCAACCACCCAAAUUCACAAUGCACCAAACCCGGAAGCCAAUCAAAAGGGGGGUUUGAAAAAAAAGGUGAUUCAUGGGGAAAUAAAAAAUCCCAGUCAAUGUCCUACGAAAGGGAGCACACCAAUAAAAACUAUACAAAAUAAGAUAGUUACACCUAUUUGUACCAAAACACUGGCGCGUUAUCUUGAGGGUUAUGACGAUGGUAAGAAAUCCUACCUCAUUCAAGGCUUUACAUAUGGUUUUCCUUUAGAAUUUCAAGGACACAGGGAAUCAUUUUCUUGUGCAAACUUAAAAUCAGCUUUAGACCACCCAGCCGUAGUUGAAGAAAAAAUUAAAAAAGAAUUAGAUUUCAAAAGGGUAGAGGGGCCUUUUAAAAUUAAACCGUUAGAUAUUUUUCGCGUUUCUCCUUUGGGGCUGGUACCUAAAAAAGCACCGGGAACCUGGCGUUUAAUACAUCAUUUGUCAUAUCCAGAUAAAAAUCUAAAUUCUGUUAAUGCAGGGAUAUCGGAUGAAUCUGCAGCAGUUCAAUAUGCAGGUAUUGAGCAAGCAAUUCAACGAAUCAAAACAUUAGGGGAAAGUACAUAUAUGUGUAAAACGGAUAUUAGAUCUGCAUUUAGGAUAGUGCCUGUUAACCCUCGGGAUUUUGGUUUGCUUGGUUUUAAAUGGGACGGAAAUUUUUACUAUGAUAAAUGUCUCCCCUUUGAAUGUCGCACUAGCUGUAAAAUUUUUGAGGAAUUUAGCACAGCCCUUGAAUGGAUAGCUUUGAAUAAGUUAGGGAUUUCGGCUAUGGUACAUAUAUUAGAUGAUUUUUUGAUUUUGGAAAAUUCCAGGGACCGUGCGGUAUCCAAGCUCAAGGCUUUCAUUCAUUUAUGUGAAAAGUUGGGGGUUCCUCUGUCAAAUGAGAAAACUGAACUACCAGCGCAAGUCAUGGACUUUGUUGGGAUUACAUUAGAUGUGCCAAAGCAUGAAUCGCGUUUACCUGAAGAUAAAUUGAACAAAUGUCGAGUGUUACUGACUAAAUUCAUUCAGUUAGACAGGUGCACCCUCAAGGACAUGCAGUCUUUGAUAGGAUUUCUAAAUUUCGCUUGUUCAGUGGUUCAGCCAGGUAGAGCAUUUUUGCGCAGAUUAAUCAAUUUAACUAUGCAUGUUGCUAGCUCCCAAACGCACAUCUUUAUAACUCAUGAGGCUAAGGAAGAUAUGAAGAUGUGGAAAGAAUUUCUAAAUCAGUUUAACGGCAAGUCGAUAUUUUUGAACGAAAUGUUCCUGUCAAGCCAUACUUUAGAGCUGCACACAGAUGCAGCACAAUCUUUAGGAUACGCAGGAAUUUAUAAAAACAGAUGGUUUAAUGGGGUUUUUCCAAAAGAAUGGCAGAAAUUAAAUAUCAUGACCCUUGAAUUUUAUCCCAUUAUUUUGUCAAUUUCUAUGUGGGGUCAUUUGUGGCAGAACCAUUCAAUUUUGUUUUUCACCGACAACGAAUCUUUGGUAUCAGUCAUAAACAAACAAACCUCCAAAGAUAACGAAGUAAUGAAAAUGGUUCGCUUUAUGGUUUUGCAAUGCCUGAAACUGAACAUUCUUUUUAAGGCGAAACACAUUCCUGGCAAAAGGAAUGUUUUAGCUGAUCUCCUUUCUCGUUUGCAGGUCGGUCACUUUUUGAAUCUGGCACCUCUUGCUCAAAAGAAACCCUGCCAAAUACCACAGUACCUUCAACCACAGAACUUUUGGGAGUCGUUAAAAUACUAACACAGGCUGCUCUGGCUCCAUCUACAUCAAGCACUUACAAACAAGCUUGGAACAUUUUUAAUUCCUUUUCACAAGAGGUUUUAGGUCAAACCUGUAAUCUGCCCCUAUCGGCGUCAACUGUCUCGUUAUUUAUUGCUUACCUUUAUAAAAAGCAAUUUGCACCAAGCCCAAUUUCAACUUACCUGUCAGCAUUGGGUUAUGUACAUAAAAUGUUAUCUUUGCCUGACAAUACCCGAUCCUUCUUGGUUGAUAAGCUUGUCACUGGUACUUACAGACUGUCACAAACAAUCGACACACGUUUACCUAUUACUGUUCCUAUUCUGAACAAAAUGCUUAUAGCAUUGCCUACUUUGUCAAUCUCAUCUUAUGAGCAAUGCUUAUUCAAGGCAUUGUUUCUGUUCGCAUUCUCAACAUUUGUCAGAAUUGGCGAGUUAGUUUCAGUCAAGCAUAUUCCACAAGAUCACAUUGUGCAGUUGAGCGAUGUUUCCUUGUCAGUAGUACAAGGUGUAGUUAAGGAAGUCACGGUCAGCUUCCGUAAAUUCAAACAUAGUAUCAAAGAAGGGGCAAAGAUGAUACCUUUCUCAGACUCUAAUACGGGAACUAGUGAAUCUGCGAUCAAUAGUCUAGUACUUUAUUUACAACGCAGGCCAAAACCCCCUGGCCCGUUGUUCUGUUUAACAAGCGGACAACCCCUGACUAGAUCUUACUUUGAUAAGAUUUUGCAUAAUUGCCUGGCUCAUUGCCAGUUGGAUAGUUCCAAAUAUAAAGGUCAUAGUUUUCGAAUAGGAGCUGCAACAGCAGCUGCAGAAAAAGGUUGGUCGGAUGCCAAGAUUAGGGACAUGGGUCGUUGGAAAUCCAACGCAUUUAGAAAGUACAUACGGCCUUAGACCUUAACGAGUACCGCUUUCAAUAGCCUACCGUUAUUAAAUCCUGCAGACAUUCUUUCCUACUUUAGGCAAAGAUACCUGCUUGGGCCGGUAUCUUUCGCUUCAUGCUUCCGUCAGUAUCGCGUUUAAUCCAAUUGGUCCUUGCCUGCCACACUCCAAGGACAGUGUGUCAAUUAGUUUUGCAUAGCUUAUGUUCUUGAAUGCAUGUAUCCCUAUCAGGAUCCCUUAUACCUGCUUAAUGUCAGCAUGAUGCGGACAGAAAUUUUGGGGCUAGAGUUCAAGCAAGUUCAGUAUUUUUGUUUUUUGAUUCCAAUUGUAGUGAGUUCUUUUUCAAUGCUUGCACGUGCCUUGUACUCAUAGAUCCCUGCUUGGGCCGGUAUCUAUGCUUUGCACAUUUCUACAGCUGAUAUGACGUAUGAAGACUCCUGCUUGGGCCGGUGUCUUUCUGCAUUUUAUUCUGUUUGUACCGGUAUUUAUAGAUCCCUGCUUGGGCCGGUAUCUAGUCAUUGCACAUUUUUGUAUGAAGACUCCUGCUUGGGCCGGUGUCUUACUAGCUUUGUCUACCUUGGUACUUGUAUUCAUAGAUCCCUGCUUGGGCCGGCAUCUAUUCAUUUAUAAGUUGACAUGAGGUAUGAAGACUCCUGCUUGGGCCGGUGUCUUUCGGCAUUUUUACCUUUACGUUAUAGUUACAUGAUUGCAUCUGCUGUAUUAGUUUCAACUAAUUUUGGGUGUUCUAUUAGGAUAUUUCUAGUCCUCUCCAAAGUGAUGGUAUAUCAGGGUCAUAACGUUUGUGCCUCUCGCCAAUGCUUGGCCUUUUGUGGGGUAGGAAAGACUCAUCUUUCCUAGGGAAGACUCAUCUUUCCUUGUGGGACUGGUGACCCCUUACAAGGCCAAGUUGGUGGAAUUUUACCAUAACUUUAUAUUUGUAUUUGUCGUAGUUAGAAUUUUUCUAGUCAUAAUACUUUUUCUCAAUUUGUACUUUACAUGUAUUUUGUAUACAUGUUGGUAUCGUAAUUUACAUGUAUUUUGUUUUACAUGUUUGUAUUGUAUUUACAUGUAUUUUGUUAUACAUAUUUGUAUUCUUUUUAUAAAAAUUUUACCUCAGUAUUGAGUAUAAUUUUUGGCAAUUUCAGUCGGUGUUUGUUUUGUAUAUGAAGGAGGAAAGCAUAAAUGUAAGUUAUGCACAUAACUGUUUUUAUGUGGGACGACUGAAUUUGGUUUUAUGAUUUUGUAACUGUUAUGUGGAUGACAUUUUUAAUGAUCUUUUGUUUCCCCUUGGUCACCCCAAUUAACUUAGAUCCUGUGGGCACUUCCAGAUUUAAUCCCCUUAUGUAACCUCCCGAUUAGUGAGGUUUCCUGGCCGCUGAUUGGUCGAGGCCUUCGUAAUCAGCGGCAGUCUACUUCACACUUAGCGUCCUACGACAGUCAUCGUCUUACUCUCAGCUUUGUCUUCAAUUUCCCGCCCACCUACCCCUUCAACUCCCUUAUUUCUGUUAGAAUUUUUCUAGUCACAUACUUGGGACUGGUGACCCCUUACAAGGCCAAGUUGGUGGAAUUUUACCAUAACUUUACAUUUGUAUUUGUCGUAGUUAGAAUUUUUCUAGUCAUAAUACUUUUUCUCAAUUUGUACUUUACAUGUAUUUUGUAUACAUGUUGGUAUCGUAAUUUACAUGUAUUUUGUUUUACAUGUUUGUAUUGUAUUUACAUGUAUUUUGUUACACAUAUUUGUAUUCUUUUUAUAAAAAUUUUACCUCAGUAUUGAGUAAAAUUUUUGGCAAUUUCAGUCGGUGUUUGUUUUGUAUAUGAAGGAGGAAAGCAUAAAUAUCAUUUUAUUUUAUCACUUUAUAAUAGAUAAAAAAAUGUACAGCUGCUGAUUGCUGGUAUUGCACCCUCAAUCCAAAGAGGCUACCUGCAGAUAAGCCCCUUCAUUGGUUGCCUGAUCCCACUAAAGGUCCUGACGACACUUUCCAAUCUCUUGAGGCUCUCUUGGGCACUGAGACAACAGACAGGGAUUGUCCUGGUUUAAGUGCUAAAGGUACUGCUACAGAAAAUGACAAGAAACACAAAGGAGUUUUGGUAGCAGCCAAAGUUCGCAGCUUCAUUAUGUGCUGUCUCUGUGGCAAACGUAGAGUAGUUUAUUGCAAAGAACGCCUAGGCAGGCAACAGAUUACAGACAUCGAGGAGGUUCAAGAUAGCCUUUUCUAUACUUGUGGGUCUACGCUGUUCCCUUCUGGUCAUAGAUAUCAUGAAACCAUUGUAGUCAAGGAAGGUCUGGAAUGUACAGCUGAGAUGGAAACUACCUAUUAUGCAGGCAUCACGACCAAGUUUCAGCCAGUUUGUUUCUUCUGUGGGGAUACUGAAGUGGACAGCACAUCGCAGACUGUGCAAGACAUGAGAAAAAACUAUAGCAUUGUCAGACCUAUUUGUGGAAACUGCAUAUCAAGAGGCAUUCAGCCUAAAGUUCGAAAUGCUUUGAAAUUGAAUAAAAAGUGAUCUUGGAAAUUAAAGUUGACAAAAAAAAUGUGUUUUUUAAUUUUUAUUCAGUCAAUUUAAAUACUAUUUGGUUAAGGUUCCAAUUUUUUUUUUUUUUUUUUUUUCCGACCACCCAACGCAUAUUUUGGUGGCAAAAAAUCGUAAACCAAAAAAAAUAAAAACUUUGGCCUAAAUUUUGUUUUAUACUUACUGUAUCUACUUUGACCAAUGAAGGAAAAUUUAUAUUAAUUUCAAGAAAUUUCAACCACACAUUUUCAUUUGAAUAAUUUCAAUAGAUAUAUAGAAAUUUCAUCAAGCAAACUUUUGAUCACUGAGAUGCUCUAAAUUUGAUAUCAAAUCGAAUUAAAAGCUUAAUUUAGCUAAUUUUUACAGAGUUAUUUCCUUUGGGUGUUGGGUACCACCUUAAAUACACAAAUUUGGAGAGGGAUAUAAAAGUCUUCAACUGUCAGAAAUGGAUCAAGUCCUUCAGCUUUUUAUUAUCGUUUUCCCAAAGAAGUUGUUGUUAUUCUAUAGCAUUUGGACACUCUCUAAAAUCAACUUCAUUCAGUGAUGACUGUUUAUCAAACUUGGUACAUAGUUUUUAGAAUGACAUAGAACCCUAUUAUUUUUUUUACAAAGGUUAAGAUCACAGGAUCCAGUUGUCAUUUCAUAACAUCCUUGUGAACAAUGCAAUGAGCCGUAGUGUAACAAAUAUCUAAGACAUCAGUGUCGCAGAGACACAUUUUCUUGUUUUUUAAUACUCAAAAUACUAGUCAAUUUUAAAACUUUUAAUAGUUGUUUUUGAACAUUUACAAUACUAGGCUUUUUAUGAACAGGUAGACUUAUAAAAUUGAUUUAGUUCAUCGUGUUUAAGAAAGACAGUCUUGAUAGAAUAAAUUGAUGGUGCUAUGAUCAAGCUUCAUUGAUGGCAAGUUAUUUGAAUGGUGAUGAGACCCAAGAUACUCUUCUCUUUACUAUCAUGCUUGGGAACAUCUGAAAAUAGACCUCUAUUCAGGGGUUAUAAAUAGUCAUUCAUACAUAUUAAAUUUAAAGAAAAAGUGUAUUUCACAUUUAUUUCACUUCUAUGGGUGGUGCCGCACUAUCUGAAAUUGCUUCUGUGAGUGGUCCCUCAUUACAUUUUUAUGCUUCUAUGGGUGGUUACCCAAAUUUUAAAGUGCCUUCCCCGGGUACCUCAUAUGUUUUAAUGGAACAGCCCUAAGGCAUCACGAGACUUCUGUUUCUGUUUUACUCCAAAGUGACAGCAUCACUAGCUACAGUCAUUCCCACCGUUCCUUAUAUUUCAACGUGGCCAUCGACAGUUUUCUUAUACAACAAGAUGCCACCCGUGCGUACUCGAGUUCCCAACCUCCGCAAUAGAGAAGAAAGGUCUUGUUACACCGCCUAGAGGACGAGGGAGGAGGCGUGACCGUCAGCCAAUGGGAGUACUCAGUGUCAGCAAGUACUAUCAACUAAGGAGCAAUCUCUUGGAAACAGUUAACAGAUAUGUCCUUAGCUAUCCUCUGUCCACAUGUUGCAAAACAUUGGGAUUUCAAUGGCACUUAUGCUCAACACAAGGCCUCCGUUUUGCCUGUUAUGCACCUUGUGUGUUGGUAUUUUGGUGAUUCCCCCACACCUGUGAAAAUUAGUAAGCAAUGUGGCCAGUUAUCUCCAAUGUUUCCUUGUAUUUGUUAAUUCAAUGAUUUCAAUAAAUGGGUAAAUCACGCUGGUGUUUUUGGUUUUGUUUUCUGCAAGGUAAUGGUUCGGAACUAGCAUAUCCUGGUAGAAUUCUCGAGUGUCUGCCAAAUUGGUGGCCACUAGUUGACGAAGUCACUUCAGGGCUUGGAGGGUUAAGUGUCGCUGGGGGGAUAUAUCAACUGUUAAAUUAAUGUUUAAACCACUUACUAGUAACUUGUAUUAAUAAAAAAAAUUGUAUUCAAGGCUGUAUCUACUGAUAACAAUUAGUAAAUUCAUUUUAAUUCUACGAUGGUUGACAUUAAUAACCACAUUAAAGUAGUGCUUUAUUCUAAUGCAAUACUAAGCCAGAUGCUCUUUAUAAAAAAAACACCAAUUCAUACUCGAGCAAUGUUUGUGUCUGUAACUUUUAGUAACAAUCAAUAAAAUCUGUUUCAAAAUGAUAGUAUAAUAACGACUACAUCAAACCAUGGAUUUACAUGGGUUUUUUUUCAGACGCACCAACCUUUCAAUCACACAAUGAACACACAUUGCACAGAGAUUACCAGAGGAUUACGAGGACAAAGUGACUGAUUUCUAGCUUUAUAAUCACUCAAAGAAAGAGACACAAUUAUCCCAUCUCACAGAAAAGAAAUGAUGACCCUUACCUUCAACAUCCCAUACACAUCAACAAUAAAAGUACAAAGACAGUCAACAUCAAGACAACUGGAAAUGAUAGAACAGAUUUAUGGUUAUGCUGGUAUGCACUGUUGACGAAGUCACCACCAUACGUUAUCUCUAAGAUAAAGACUCUUCCAAAAGAAACUUUCCUUAUUUUAUAUAAAAAUGCAAUUUUUUAUAUUCCAAUUUUUUAAAAAAAAUCCCCUAAUGCAUACAAGAGCAGGGUUCAGCUACAAGAAAAUUUAGAAUAAUUUUUCACAGCUUUGAUCAGAAAUAUAUUGAAAUUUGAUUUAUUAAAUUAUUAUUUAUACACAACGUUGGUUUCCUUUUCCUGUACUUAGCUAACUAUGUUUAAUUAGGAUAUUUGAUGUUGCUUUGUUUUUAUUUAUCAUAUCGAUUCUAAAAUUAGAUUUGGUAUUGGUCAGUGUAAUUAGAUGACCAAUCAGAUUAGAGUAGCCGGGAGCAUUGAUGCCUAGAGGGGGAUGCUGAUUAGUUCAUUGUAUAGCCUUGUAGGAGACUGAAAGUAACAGCAGCUAUUAUUUUUGCCUUUUCAACAUUUAUCUAUAUCGUGAUUCCUUUCAAUGAUCAUAUUGGAACUUACUAUUCAUCUUGGAGACGUUUUCAUGUAGUGUUUUCCACAUAUAUAGAAGAUUCUGGGAGUUGUAUUUGUUUGUGUGACUGGUGCAUUAUUUUCCCGCCAUGGGACCUAAGCGAUCUAAUCGAUCGGUACCGUACAAUCCUGAACUACCUGCUAAUUGGACUUCGGCACGUUUGAGAGAAACUCUGAAUUCCCGCGGUAUUAACUUUCCCACCAAUGCUCGCCGAUCCGUGUUGAUACGUUUGAUUGAAGAGAAUGAGAAUCCUAUAAAUAGACCUACGCAGUCCCACAAUGACACAUCCCACAAUGCAACGCAACGAGUAAACAACAAUGGCGAACAGAGAGUGUUGGUAGACUUGGUGUCAAAGUUGACAUCAACGGUUCAAUCGCUGCAACAAAGUGUGGUGUCGUUAAACACUAGAGUGAAUUCUCUUACCGCUCAGGCUAAUAUUCAGUCGGACAAUGCCGUUGCAGGGAGACCGCUUCUCCGGACAGAAACGGCAAGAAAUGCAACACGGGUGACCACCGGUAACAACGAACCUCCAACUUCGGCGGGUCUGUCUACAGUACACGUAUCCACAGACUCUUUGCCCAUUUCUCCGACGAAUGAAAGCCGUGGUUAUGAUCUGGCUUCCGCUUUCUCUGCUUUCCAAUCGCGUCAAGUCUCGGCUGCUGCUGGAUCACCUGGUCAGCUCAACAAUGUGAGGACGACCUAUGGCUACGCUUCUGAAUCAUUACCAUUGGUAGAGACUAUAUCGCCACAACUGAGACAGCAGAUAGUGUCAGGUAAGGACGUGAACCUAGCCACUCUUCUUAUUCCCUACUUCACUCCCAUUGAGUCACCAGAGGGCAAGUCUGACCAGAGACUGCAACGUUUCCUGACCAUUGGGGAAUUCAUUCAAGCUUUCGGCAUUUAUAAGAACGUUAUGUGUGAGGCCUACCCUCACCGAAGAUCGGAAUUAGAUUUGUAUGAGAGAGACUUAGUGGACAUGGCCACCCGUUAUCCUGGGAAAGGUUUUUACGAAUAUCACCGCCAUUUUAGCCUUAUGGCCGCGGCUCAGCUGAAAUUCAACAACAUUUUAGUGGAUUGGUCAAUUCGUAACAAUACAUUGUUUUGCAACAUAUUUGCCAACUCAAAGCCCCAGUCAUGUGCUGCUUGCAACAGCACCCUACAUCUGACUGGAUUCUGUCCAUUGAAUGCCAACAGAAGACCCACUGACAGCAACGAUUCGUACGGGCGCAAGAGAAACUUCCACGCAGGUAGAGAAAUCUGCAACAAUUUCAAUGGACAACGGGGUUGUCAACUAGCCAGAUGCAGGAAUGCUCAUAUUUGCUUGGAAUGCAAAGAAGACCAUUCCAAACUUAACUGUCCAAGCACAAAAAACUCCAGUUGGCCCCAGUUCUUUGGGGCCUCCACUCACCAGAAGCCACAGAGGGAAAUUUCGACUUCGAAAUAACGACACCAGUGCAGAUAGAUAUACUACAAGAUCUGCUGAUAGACCACCCAGAUAGGGAUUUCACACAGUAUUUGAUUAAUGGAUUACGAUGUGGCUUUUACACGGGGUUCAAAAAUAUUCCAAACAAUAACUUUGAAUGUAAAAAUCUCAAGUCGGCGAUUCAGUAUUCCAACAGUGUAACGGAACUACUACAACAGGAAGUUGACAAGGGUUACCUAUUGGGUCCCUUUACAGAUAUUCCUUUUCCUCAUUACCGUAUAAAUCCAAUUGGUAUAGCAAUUAGUAAAUAUUCUAAGAAAAAGAGACUCAUCGUGGACAUGUCGGCGCCUCAUAAUGACUUAGAUAAUCCUAGCUUGAAUGACUUGAUCAACAAAGAAGACUUUUCUCUCAGCUAUGUGACCAUAGACGAUGCUAUACAGCUUAUCAAAAAAUGUGGAAAGAAUUCUAUGUUGAUAAAAACCGAUAUCACAGAUGCAUUUAAAAUAAUGCCUAUCUGCCUUCAAUUGUGGCCCUUUCAUGGUGUUAAGUGGGAAAACCAAUAUUAUUUUUACAAACGUUUAGUAUUUGGAAGUCGUUCAAGUCCCAAAAUUUUUGAUAGCUUGUCCUUUGCAGUGUGCUGGAUUGCUACACACAAAUACCAAAUGCCCAAUAUUCUACACCUACUUGAUGAUUUCCUAGUAGUCGUUCCUCCAGACUCGAAUGCUACCGAAAUUAAGCUAAAGCUGCUUAGCCUUUUCAAAGACUUGGGGAUUCCACUGUCGGUUAAAAAGACUGAAGGCCCAAAUACGGAAUUGGAAUACUUGGGUAUCUACUUGGAUUCUUUCAACAUGAUAGCAAGGUUACCUAAGGACAAGAGUGAUCGCAUCUCAGAAAUAGUGGAAUCGUUCCUGCACCGCAAAUCCUGUACAAAAAGGGAAUUACUUAGUUUACUUGGACACUUAAACUUUGCAUGUAGAGUAAUCCUACCAGGACGAUCUUUUAUUUCACACCUUAUCGCUCUAUCCACAACUGUAGAACCAUUACAUUACCAUAUUCAGUUAGACAGUAUGUGCCGAGCAGAUCUCACUAUGUGGGCUAAAUUCCUUCGUUCAUGGAAUGGCGUUUCUUUUUUCAUCAAUGAUGACAUUGUGAAUGCAGCAGAUAUUCAACUUUUCACGGAUGCCACCCCAUCUUCCUUUGGUGGAUUUUACCAGAAUGACUGGUUUCAAGGAUAUUUUCCCAAAGAAAUUUUGCAAGAGAAGACAUCAAUGGCCUUCUUUGAACUCUACCCCAUAGUGAUGGCAUGUCUUCUGUGGGGCGAUAAUUGGAAAAGGAGCGCAUUUUGUUUCAUUGUGAUAACAGAGCAACCGUAGAUAUUAUAUGCAAGGGACGUUCGAAAAUUAAAAGCAUAAUGAAACUUAUGAGAACUUUGACUUUUCACGCGGCUAGCAACCAUUAUAUCAUUCAUGCUAAGCAUAUUGAAGGUACAAAAAACUGUAUUGCUGACUCUCUCUCUCGUUUCCAGAUGCAGAGAUUCCGAACCUUAGCUCCCCAAGCCAACCCCUUUCCAGUGCCUUGCGUGCAUCAUUCGGUGAUGAUGACAGACUAGAUCAGGAGUUGCAGGGACUUUGGGAAGCUUCACUGAACCAGUCAACUCGCAAGACAUAUUCUUCAGCCUUACAGUGUUUUCAGAACUUUAUGAUUAUGAAUGGUGCUAAGUUCUCCAAGCAUGGGUUACCUCUCAUACAAGAAUCAGACCUUGUUUAUUUUGUGACACAUUGUAAAUCGGUGCUGAAAUUGAAACAUGACACCAUUAAAUUAUAUCUUGCUGGCAUUAGGUUUCACUAUAUUAAGUCUGGAUUGGGCGAUGUCUUGAAAGGAUGCGAUCAGUUGCAUUAUGUGUUAAGAGGUGUUAAAAGAUUACAGUCAAAUGUCCAUCACAAGCGUUUUCCUAUUACUACAAGAAUUUUAGCACAAAUAUGGAAUGUUUUAGACCAGGGAGUUUUUUCUCCUUUUGUAGAUCUCAUGUUAAAAUGUAUGUAUUCAUGUGCAUUUUUUGGUUUUUUGAGAUGUGGUGAAAUCACAUGCAAAUCUCAGAAUGUAGAACAAUUUUUACAAAUCUCAGAUGUACAUAUUAAACCAGGAGGAAGUGCUUUUGUUUUGAAAUUAAGAACCUCCAAAACAGAUCCAUUUUCAAAAGGUGUUGAAAUUGUUAUUUUUGAAAAUGACCACUUUAAACCGGUGUACACCAUGAUAUCAUAUUUAGAUGCUCGCAAAUCUCUGUUUAGUUCAAACACUGGCAAAUCGCCAUUAUUUGUAGACAAUGAAUUUAACCUUAAACCCAUGCCAAGAGACACUUUUGUUCUGCAACUGAAAGAGAUACUCCUUCGGAUUGGAUAUGAUGAUAACAAAUUUUCAGGUCAUUCUUUUAGGAUAGGUGCAGCUACAGCAGCGGCUGCAGCUGGUGUUGAAGAUCAUGUUAUUAAAGAAUUAGGUCGUUGGUCUUCAGACUGCUACAACAGAUAUAUUAGAACAGAUGUAGAGGCUGUUCAAAAAGCACAAGUACAAAUGUCAUAUUUGUAAUAUGUUGUUUCUUUUUUUUUUUUUUUUUUCUACUGUGUACAUGAGCCUAUUAUUAUUACAUGUUAAAAAUUUUUUUUUUUUUUUUUUCUUUUUUCAUGACUACCGGUUCUUGGGGGCUUCACUCAUUCCUUUCGUUCAUUUGGCGUUCAUUCCUGGGGGAAUUUUGCCCCCAAGGGAUUAUUUACUUAUUACAUACAUUAUUUGUUUAUAUGUACAUGUAUUGUAUUAGAACCUGUAUAUGAAUUAUGUUGGCAGGCGGUAUAUUGUAGAUAUUAGGUUGACACGUUAUUCGGGCAGGAAUCUCGGCCACGUCUAUGUUUCUCUGUAUAUACAUGGUUAAGCUCACAGAUCAGCUCGAGCUUCAUUGGAUUUGUAUUCGGGUUUGUUGGUUACCCGCUGGGAUCAGCCCCGGGUAAGCUCCCUGGGAUCAGCCCGGAGCUUCAUUUCCAUUCAGUUUUGCAUGCAUGGGGAUUUGCUCAUUCAGCUCCCUGGGAUCAGCCCGGAGCUUCAGUCUGUUUUCUCGCCCGCUGGGAUCACCCCGGGCAGCUCCUUGGGAUCAGCCCGGAGCUUGUUUUUUGUGUUCAUUAACCCGCUAGAUUCAGUCGCGGGUAGCUCCUUGGGAUCAGCCCGGAGCUUCAUCACUCCUUUUGGACCCGUUGGGAUCAACCCGGGGUAGCUCACUGGGAUCAGCCAGUUGCUUAGUUGUGGUUUUAGUCCAGAUGGUCGUACGUGACCUGCUGGGAUCAGCCCAAGGCUAGUUCACUAGAGUUAGUGUAGAGUAGAGUAGAGUACAUAUAGUUAUGUAGUAUUGGAGUUAUAAGAAUGAGAAGCCCCCAGAACGCCAAACUGUAUUUUAUUUUUUGUUGUUUUGUACAUAUUGUAUGUUCUUCUGAUGUAGGCAUGUAUGUUAGUAAUCAAUAUGAGUUUUCAGUUGGAUAUGUAAAUAAAUGUUAAACUCUGA